rnacentral:lncRNA from 1 species
GCUAUUGUGCUUGCUGCUCAGUGCCGACAGUAUAUUAUUAGAUUAGGUGAGAAAUUGGAAGAAACCAAAAUACCACUGUAAGUAUAGGGGAAGAGUGUAAUGUCCAUGUAUUUGUGUUGAUUGUAAGUGGUGCUCUUCCGUUCAAUGUUCUUUCUCCCCGAUCACCAAGCAUUGCAUGGAUGUAUGAGAUAACUCUUCUGCUCUGAUGCGGUGUCCUCGCAAAAUAUUUUUACGCUCAUUGGAAGUAGCUAGGGAUCGAUCUCUUGCAAAGAGUAUCUCGAUUUUCUUAUGGUUUUUAUAUAUUGAGCUUGUUUACUACUACUACUUUCGAUUGCAUCAACUAAAAUGAUUCUUCUCUGUUACUAGUGCACAACACCCUCUUG